rnacentral:rRNA from 1 species
GAACGAGGUGCUCUUGUAGCAUACGGGAGUAUCCUAGUGGCGAACGGGUGAGUAACGCGUUGGUGACCUGCCCCAAAGUGUGGGAUAACAGUCCGAAAGGAUUGCUAAUACCGCAUGUGGCCAUCGGGUUUAGAAACUGAUGUCUAAAGCAGCAAUGCGCUUUGGGAGGGACCUGCGUCCCAUCAGCUAGUUGGUAGGGUAACGGCCUACCAAGGCGACGACGGGUAGGGGGCCUGAGAGGGUGGCCCCCCACAAUGGAACUGAAACACGGUCCAUACACCUACGGGUGGCAGCAGUAGGGAAUAUUGCACAAUGGGCGAAAGCCUGACGCAGCAACGCCGCGUGCGCGAUGAAGGUCUUCGGAUCGUAAAGCGCUUUUCUGGGAGAUGAGAAAGGACAGUAUCCCAGGAAUAAGUCUCGGCUAACUACGUGCCAGCAGCCGCGGUAAAACGUAGGAGACAAGCGUUAUCCGGAUUCACUGGGCGUAAAGCGCGUGCAGGCGGCUCGGUAAGUUGGGCGUGAAAUCUCCCGGCUCAACUGGGAGGGGUCGUCCAAUACUACCGGACUCGAGAGCGAUGGAGGAAAAUGGAAUUCCCGGUGUAGUGGUGAAAUGCGUAGAUAUCGGGAGGAACACCAGUGGCGAAAGCGAUUUUCUGGAUCGUUUCUGACGCUCAGACGCGAAAGCUAGGGUAGCAAACGGGAUUAGAGACCCCGGUAGUCCUAGCUGUAAACGAUGUGAACUUGGCGUCGGUGGCUUAAACUCCAUCGGUGCCGCAGCUAACGCGAUAAGUUCACCGCCUGGGGACUACGGCCGCAAGGUUAAAACUCAAAGGAAUUGACGGGGGCCCGCACAAGCAGCGGAGCGUGUGGUUUAAUUCGAUGCUACACGAAGAACCUUACCCGGGUUUGACAUACAGGUGGUAGGGAUCCGAAAGGUGACCGACCCGCAAGGAGCCUGAACAGUGUUGCA